ACUUCCGGGGGGCGGCGCGAACGGCAAUGGCGGUCCUCUUCUGACGGGAGAGGAGGCUCCGCAGACAUCGGGUCGUCCGCUACGGCGAAGCGGAGACCCAUUUUGGAAAACCCCAGGCAGCAAGAGCCUGGGGUCUUGAGGCUCGGUGGGCGCCUUUAGCAACCCUCCAAACGCAGAAGGAACCUCGUAAGGGGCUCCGGAGCGUGGAGGGGGGUUGCGGCGCUGAGAGCUGCUUCACAGUCUGCGGAGUGAAGCCGCGCUGCUGCUGCCGGUGAGCGCUGACCCCUUUUCCUGUUAAAAUUCGGAUUCGGAUGAAAAGCAACUUACUCGUGAGUAAAGACUGAAUCACUUUAAAUUAGAGACUUUAAAUGAAAAACUUUAAUUUGGCUUGAACUUGGCUUGAACUUGGCUGAAAGCGGAGAGACGUGGAAACAGGAAGUCCGUCUUCCGCAGCCAUUGAACUUAAAAAAGCAACUAAGGUGGAGGAGUGGAGGCUGAAAGAAAGAGAUUUUAAACUCUACAGAGCCAAGCAUCUAUUGAACUUAUAACUUAAAGUAAAGACAUUAAGCUGAAGAUUUGGAACUUUUAUUUGCACUUGACUUUCCCCCUUUUAUUGGAUUACAAAUCAGAAGGUGAAACCCAGAGUCAGGAGCUGCCUGAGCAUUGAGAGAGUGAGCUGUCAGUGUUGAUUUGGAUACUGUAUAUUGGAACUUGCAACAAUCUGAGGGUACUGAGACUUUUUAAAUUUGAAACAUUCUUUUUGGAGACAAAUAAGCACUGUCUGUAACAAAGUGAUUACUUAUAAACUCUGCUAAAUAUUUAUAUUUGAAGGUUCUUGGACAUUAAAUCAGACUCUGAAAGACAUUUUAAGCUCCCUCUAGAGGAUUGGAUUAAAACAGUGACUUUACAAGUAUAUUUACUUUCGAUUCCCUUGUUGUUUGCUUGCUCUGGGCCUUUCUAUUCCCGUGGGAAAAACUCAGUGUGACCUUGACUGAUAGACAACGUUGGAAUGAGUGGCACAAGAAAAAGAGGGAGAGCUAGACAAACAACUUUAACAACUCUAACCUCAGCCUCGCAGACACGCAGAUCAUCUGUACCUACUUUGCCCUCAGAAGUACAACUUGAAGAAGUUGCCUUGCCACAGGCAAAAGAGGGAGAGGGUGAAGCAGAGCAGUUACAAUUGGAAGAUAUGGCCUCAGGAGUAUCUGUUUCUGUUCUAGAAAAAAUUUUUGAAAAAUUGGAAGCUUUGGACAAGAAAGUAGAUGCGCAAUCAGCUAAGAUUGAUAAAAAUACAGAAUGUCUAAAUAAAUUAACCAUACAAGUGGUACAGAAUACACAAGCAAUUGGACAGUUAACGGAGGCCUCAGCAGAAAAUCGGAAAUUGGCUGAGGAUACCAGACAAAAAUUGGAAAAUUUAGAGCAAGAGGUAAGACCACUCACUAAACAAGUUGGGGAACAUCAGACUUAUCUUUCUAUGAUAGAACUGCGAAAUCGUGAGAAUAAUCUGAGGAUUAGAUCACUACAAGAGGCAGAAGAAGGAAAUUUAACUGAGUUUUUGACCAAAGAAUUUUCCAAGUUCUGGAAUUUGGAAGAAAAGGAUUUUAAAAUUGUGUCAGCUUUCAGACUUGGAAGAUUCAUAAAGAAGGAGAGGCCCAGAGACUGUUUGAUUACAUUGAGAUCGAAGGAGGAAAGGGAUAAGAUUUUGGGCCUACAUUACGGAAAGUCACUGGAGGUUUUGGAUAGAAGAAUUGAGAUCUAUAAAGAUAUUCCAAGACAACUGUUGGAUCUUAGAGCCGCCUAUUCUGAGCUUGCUAAACUACUAAGGAGCAACGCAAUUCCAUUUAGGUGGGAAUUUCCCCAAGGAAUAUCUUUUACCUUUAGAGGGAGAAAGGUCAAAGUUAGAACAUUGGAAGAGAGAGACAAAUUUUUGGCUACAUACGGAGAGGACCUACAAAAGGAAUUGAAUUACCUUCUGGGCCUGGGGCAAAGCCAGCAUUAACACCAGCACCUGGGGAACUUGAAGAUCCAGAGAAGAUACCACCCCGGGAGAAAUAACCAGAUAGAUCCAGGAUGUCUCUGCAAUUGUUGAGUUGGAACAUUAAUGGUUGUAACAUUCCGGAAAAAAGGAAGAAAAUAUUUCAUAUAUUAAAAAAGAACAAUUGGACAUUAUCUGUUUACAAGAAACACAUGUGACGAGGCUCCACAGAAAAGUGUUAAUAAAUAAAAGAUUAGGCCAGGAAUUUGUUUCGUCGGAUAAAGUGAAGAAGAGAGGCGUGGUGAUAUAUGCAAAAGAGAGCCUGUCACCUAAAUUCCUAUUUAAAGAUGAACAUGGAAGAAUUUUGGCUAUUGAGAUACAAUAUCAAGGAGAGAAACUGUUGAUACUAGGAAUCUAUGCACCUAAUGAAGGGAAAUCGGAAUUUUACAAGAAGUUGCAGGGGACAAUGCUGGACUAUCUGGAUUACAACAACAUCAUAACGAUGGGAGAUAUGAACGGGGUCGUAUCAACCAACAUGGACAAGUCACAAAGUCAAAAUGUUACAAAAGACGGCAGACUACCUAAAACCUUUUUGAAAUGACUGACAAUAUGGAUUUGAUCGACAUUUGGAGGACAAAGAACCCACUAGGUAGAGAAGGAACAUUCUUUUCUGAAGCCCAACUGACCUGGACAAGAAUCGACCAAAUAUGGAUUUCUAGAGGCCUGGCACCUAGGGUCAGAAAAGUGGAAAUCUGCCCAAAGACCUGUUCUGACCACAAUGCAGUAAAGAUGGAUAUGACACUACUACCAACUGGAUCCUUUAGAUGGAAGAUGAAUGACAAUUUGUUUAGAGAUCAGGAAAUUACCAAGAAGGCCCAAAAAGUUUUGAAGGACUAUUUUGAGAUAAAUAUGAAUAAUUCGGUGGAAAAAAGAAUCGUCUGGGACGCAAGCAAAGCUGUAAUGAGGGGAUUCUUGAUACAACAGAAUGUAGUAAGGAAAAAAACACAAAAUGAGAAAAAGAUAAGAUCUUGGAU